rnacentral:rRNA from 1 species
GACAGAGGCCUCAAGCGUUAGGCGGAAUCACUGGGCUUAAAGCGUGUGUAGGCGGAUCGUUAAGUGUCUUGUGAAAUCCCACGGCUCACCCGUGGAACUGCUGGGCAUACUGGCGAUCUUGGGCCAACUAGGGGCAACUGGAACAAGCGGUGGAGCGGUGAAAUGCGUAGAUAUCGCUUGGAACGCCAAAGGUGAAAACAGGUGCUGGG